GAUGAACGCUGGCGGCGUUCUUAACACAUGCAAGUCGAACGGAAAGGCCCAAGCUUGCUUGGGUACUCGAGUGGCGAACGGGUGAGUAACACGUGGGUGAUCUGCCCUGCACUUCGGGAUAAGCCUGGGAAACUGGGUCUAAUACCGGAUAGGACCACAUUUUGGAUGGUGUGGUGGAAAGUUUUUCGGUGUGGGAUGAGCUCGCGGCCUAUCAGCUUGUUGGUGGGGUAAUGGCCUACCAAGGCGUCGACGGGUAGCCGGCCUGAGAGGGUGUACGGCCACAUUGGGACUGAGAUACGGCCCAGACUCCUACGGGAGGCAGCAGUGGGGAAUAUUGCACAAUGGGCGCAAGCCUGAUGCAGCGACGCCGCGUGGGGGAUGACGGCCUUCGGGUUGUAAACUCCUUUCGCUAGGGACGAAGCGCAAGUGACGGUACCUGGAGAAGAAGCACCGGCUAACUACGUG
rnacentral:rRNA from 1 species